CUGUUUCUAAAUAUUUCUCUGAAAUCUCCGCCAGACUUGAUACCUUUUUAAUAACUUUUAAGAAUCAGUCUUUAAAUCCAUAUUUUAGUAGACAUUAAGAAUGUGUAAGGAAUAAAACUCAUCAUCCUUAGGGCUAGAAAACAAUAAAUGAAAUUAAUUUUAAAAGUUCUGAGCUUCAUCUCCCCAUUUGAGUCGGAUAGUUUCCAAUAUAUUCGUACAGAAGUAGUAUAUUUACCUUUAUUUAGCCUAUGAAACUACAAUUGAUUUUUAAAAUGCAGUUCUCAUUUUUUUUUUUCAAAAUCGUAAGGCUAAAAAUAAUUUAAAAUAAGAGAAAGGAUAAACCUAUGAGGCUUUCUAGAAGGGAACGUGGGUACAAUUUUGUUAUUGCUAGCACACAGUUACCAUAUACUUUAGUUUAGAAGCUGCUCUCAUUUAGUAACCUUCCUUUUACCAUGCAAGCAGCAGGGGAAAGUAAUUAAAUUUAAUAGAAGCUGCCCUCAUUUUGAAGCCACUUCUAUUUAAAACCACAGGGGGAGGUAAUUAAAUUUAAUGGAAACAGUAGCUUCUACACAAAGAUACAUGGUACUUCUGUAUAGAUGAUUAUGAUGUCACAAAAAGAGGAAUAAUAUAUUACUAGUACUGAGAAAUUACCAGCUGGAGCAAGUGAGCCUAUUUUAUUGUUAAUGUCUUCACUAAUAAAAAAAGAGGGAAAAAUAGAACUGAAUAUACAAUAGAGAAUUUGCACCUAUAAAAUGCAAUCAGACAUUCACAGAAAGUUAGUUUUUGAAAAAUAGUAAUAAAUUAAAACGAAAGUAUAAAACAUAUUGUGGAAAAAGCCAAUGCAGAAAUUAUGAAUGAACUCCUAUUUUCAAUUCAGUCUUUAUCUUGUGUCUAAAACUACCACAUUUAUAAGUUGAAGGCAUUGUUUUUGCACAUGCUAAUGAUAAUAAAUUUGAAUAUAUUAAGUGUGUACACCAAUAUGUAUUUAGAAAGCUACAGUUAUUCCCUGUAUUUUUAUAUCUACUCAGUUUGAAGUAAACACAUAGACACACAGGAAGACAAAGAGAAUGCCAGCUCUGAAGCUUUGAAUAAAAGAACUGAAGGCCUAAAACAUAGAAAGAAUUACAAAGGGGCAAUGUGAAUGAAAAUGGAUGUGACUGUGGGAAAUAUAAUGAACAAGGAAAGGACAUGUAAUUAGUGUAGAAAAUUUGUCAUCAAGGAAAAUCAAACUGAAUUAUGGGAGAACUGUGUAUGAAGAGAUUAUUCUGCCAAAUUUUGUAAUACUUACUUUUUAGAAAAUACUAGGAUAUUCUGCUUUUAAAAAAGUAGAGAUGAACUAAUAAGAAAAACAAGUAUUACCUGGUUAGAAUAACCUCUCAAUCACUCAUGCUAUCAGAUAAAGCAGUAUUCUAGAUAAUUUAAAUCAGCUUUUAAUUAUAUGGCUGUUUAAUGUACUUUGUUUACAUAAGCUGCAUAUUUUACACAUGCACAUGCACACACAUAUUCAUAAUGUUUGGAUUCACUAAACACAAUUAAAUAAUUUAGUAACCAAAGCAUUCAGCAAUUUAGUACACUGUGGGCCCACCACUUUUGUGUUUGCUGUUGUUUUUUGCCUUUAGGAAAUGUAGCAGUAGCUCAUUCUUUUAUAUAUGAGAUUAUAGAAGCAUUGGAAAAAAGUUGUGAUGCUAUGUUAGUAAGAAUAAGAGGAGAAACAUGGAGGGGCAAAAAUUAAUUGUUCUUUAAUCUGUGAUCAAUGUUUGCCUUACAUGAAGGGUGUCUCGAUCAAAAGAAACUAUGGGAGGGUAAGAUAUUUGAUUUAGGCCUUGAAAGAGGGCCAAUUUUGCAGGUAGAGGGAAUAGAAUUGAGCAAAGUCAUGGAGGCCUGCAGGUGCAAGAUGUAUUUCAGGAACAGUAAGUAGUCUGAUGUAAAGCAAAUUUUUUCAAGCUUUUUUUGAAUAUGUUUUCCCACAAAACUCACAUAGGCAGAAUUUUUGAGUCAGUAACAUCUCUCCUUCCAUGUCAAGAAUCCUUGGGUGGAAAUGAAGCAGUAUGAAGUUGGCAAGGAUGAUGUAAGCAUUUCAGAAUCUCAGAGUGUGAGAAGGGGCAGUGGGAGACAGGUAAGAAUAAUUUGCUGAAAACUUUGGUGACCAUAGGGACUGGCCUUAAGAGGCUGGCUGGAAAUGUGUUUGUUACCAUAUUCUGGAGGCUAGUUAGAUAGAGUCUAGCUUGCCAUGAUAAAGAGUGUAAAUUAUUUCAGGAAGUCAUUAUUUUUUUUUAAUUUAUUUUAUUUUAUUUUUUAACGUUUAUUUAUUUUUUGAUACAGAGAGAGACAGAGCAUGAACAGGGGAGGGUCAGAGAGAGAGAGGGAGACACAGAAUCCGAAACAGGCUCCAGGCUCUGAGCCAUCAGCACAUUGCCCGACGCGGGGCUCGAACUCACGGACCGUGAGAUCAUGACCUGAGCCGAAGUCGGACGCUUAACCGACUGAGCCACCCAGGCGCCCCAAGGAAGUCAUUAUUUUUAAGGAAGGGGUGAUAGGAUUAAAUGUAAAAAUUAGAAUUUUGUAGAAUUGUUAGAGGGGAAGAAGACACAAUAUAGGGAUAGAUGCAGUAUUCCAUGGUAGCUUUUCUCUUGGUCCUUGGACAUGGCCUAGCUCAGCUGUGGGAACAUUCUUUUCUCUCAGUGGCUUAACCUCCACAGCAGUCCUCAGGUGACCCUGGACACCCGCAGUGGUGCUCUCAUUCUGAGCGUGUCUAGCCUGGAGAAGCUGGAGCAGAAAUGGAUGGAAUCUGAAGAUUGACAUUUUGUGAGUGCUGUGUUUGGGGGCUGUCACCAAGUUGGAUAUACCUCCAACUUGGUUUAUGAAAGUUCUGAGAAUAGGAAAGAGGAUUCUGUCCUUGCUCAAUUUUCUGUCAUCUCAUCCAAUCUCUCUUCAUGGCUGGUCUUUGCCAUGUAGUCUUGAACACAUUCUUUUGUCAUGUAUUCCCAGCUCAUAAGUCAUUUUAGACCCCUCCCAUACAUCCUUCCUACCCCAGAUGUGAGGACCUGUAGCCAGCUAUGUUAAAAACACAAGGAGCUACGAACUAAUCUGGGAUGUACAGGCUAAGUAAAUCAGGUAUUUGAUCUAAAUAAAUCAGGUUUUAGCUAAUACCAAGAAAGGGGAAAAAAUGAUUUAAAAUUUGUUUUGGCAGAAAAUAGAGGGGGCAGUUGAGGGGAUGAAAGAGCUAGAGAAAUCAGUGACAUCACUAAGAUAAAGGCCCAACAGAGGGGAGUGUGUUUGGGAAAUAUGGAAGUAUUUAAAAUGUAGAUCUGAUAAGACUUUGUGGCUUAGCCUCAAUAAAUCAUAACCUUGAUUUAAUCUGUGCUGCUCUGUUUUAAAUUAUUCUUAUCCUUUUUGAAUAAGUUAUAAUUUAUUUGUGUGUCCUACUAGAUAGUAACUUCCAUGAAACUAGGAUUGCUCUUUUGCCCUCUUGUGUAUUCUUAGUCUUACCAUAGUAUUAUCAUAUAGUAGGUACUCAAUAAUUAUCUGUUGAAUUGUUGCUAAAGAUAAAAGUAAUAAGGAGGUUUAUUAAAGUUAAGUCAAAUGUUUUUAUUUUGAAUAUUUGGAUAUAUAUUAAUUGGGAUAGGGAGAGAAAAAAAGGGUUAAGGAAGAAUAUUUUCAUUUUCAGAUUAAUUUGAGAUAGCUGUGGCAAACUCGUAUAAAUUUGCAAUAAGCAGAAGGAAAAUAUAAUUCUACAACUCAGGAAAAUACUGGGGGUUGAUGUGCACAUUUGGACUUGUUAAGUAUUUUGAUACUUGUAGCCAUUGGAAAGGAUGUGAUUUCUAAGAAUAGUGCAUCAAAUCAGAAAGGAGGAGAGUCUAACCAGAUGCCUAAGAAAAAAUAUUGGGCUUAGGAAAAUGUGUGUCACAAAGAAACAUAUUUUGAGAUUUAAAAAUUAUAAAUAACUUUCUCCAGCAGAGUAAGUUGGAACUGUAAAGUGGUGUGCCUGAGAAGAGAAGGGUGGGUGGCAUUCCUGGCCAGUGUUCUGUGGCUCCUGGAGAUAUCUAGAGAAGUGCUGCCCAGUAGAACUUUCUGUGAACUGCAGUAAAACUCUCUAGUAGAAAUGUUCUAUGUUUGUGUUGUUUAGUAUGAUUGCCAGUGGCCACAUGUGGAUACUAAGCACCUGAAUUAUGGCUCUUGUAACUGAAGAGCUGAAUAUUUAAUUGUAUUUAACUUUCAUUAAUCUAAAUGUAAAUGGUUGUAUGUAGUUACAGGCUAUUCUUUGGACAGCAUCACCCUACAGGUAUAUAUUUGAGUUGCUAACGUGACAUUUGUCUGUCUCUCAUGAAUGGAAUUUUCAUCAAAUGGAGUGGCUAGGGUAAAGCUAAACCAGGUUCACACAUAUACAUCACACGCUGCUCUCUCAAAAAAUGAAGAGUAAAAGUUAGUUUCAUAACAGUAAUGGAUGUAAAACCAAAAUGAACAAAUAUGACUUGAUAUGGAGGCGGUAAAUGACUAUUACUGUCUAAAGGCAUGACUUAUAUGUAAAAAGCUCAAGAGAAUUAACAACAAUAACACGCUAGGAAUUAAUAAAAUAAUUUAGUAAUGUGGUCAGAUUUAAGAUAAAAAUGGAAAUUUAUUAGCAUUUCUAUGUAUUACCCAUAACUAAUUAGUGGUUGUAUUGAUAGUAGUUCCUAUGACAAUCCUAUGAAUUUAUUAUAUUAUAAGGUACCCCAAAUCAUCCAGGACAUGUUGAAUCACACAAUAAGUGGUAUAAGAGGCAGCCAUUUAGUUAUUUGGAAAAAAAAUCACUUUAUAUUUACACAGGUGCUGAAGGAUGUUUCAUGUAUAUCAAAGAACUAAAUGAAAUAAAUGAAAUAGCCAAUGUCCACUAGAUUAUGGGAAGCAACAGUUUUAUUUAUUUAUUUAUUUAUUUAUUUAUUUAUUUAUUUAUUUUGAGGUUUGUACAAGGGAAAGAGAUGAUAAGCUAAAGAGUAGAAGAAGAAAUCACUAAGCUUUGCCUGCAUUAAAAAAGCUUCUGUUCGUGGAAAGAAAUCAUGAAAUUAAAAGACAACAUCAGCGUAUUACAUUGCUGUGUGUUUAAGAGAUUCAGAAAGAUUAGGAGCUCAAUGGAUAAUUGGCAAAGAUUGAUUAAGAAAUCUUUGAAAAUAUUCAACUGUAAUGGCCAACAAAAUUUAAGUUACAUUAAAAAAUGUAUUAAUUUCUUGAUUACUGAUAUUACUGCGGCGCCCCAGGGAGGAAAUUUUUGAGUGUUAGCAAUGGAAUGGCAAGACAGCCAUUUCUCACUCCCAGAGCUCAAUAGGGGUGGAAGUUACUGCUGCAUUUAAGGAAAGGAUCACUCCAAUAAGUAUGAAAAGCUUUAAAGCAAACAUACCUUUUACAUAUUAAUUUAACUUCCUGAAAUAAAUCUAUUUCAGAAGACUUAGAAAUUAUGGGCAAUCUCAAUGUGUUUCUCAAACUAUUAGAAUAUAACAGUAAACAAACUGAAUAGAACCCAAUCGUCUACUGUUAAGGAAACAAGUAAGGAAAUGAAUAUUAUAUAUAUAAUGCAUUUGGUGUAUAUUUAUAUACACAUAUAUGAUUUUAUAUAGAUAUAUAAACUUAAAUAUAUUUAUAAAACAUAUAUUUGUGUAACAUAUGUGAUAUUAUAUACACACACAUGUAAUGGUGAAUUGUGGCAUCUUUAACCCUAUCUGGAUACUAAAAUGAUCUUCACCACAGUGAUUUUAGUGACACAAGAAUCCUCGUGUUAAAAUGUUCACUGAAAAAUACCAGGAAACAAAAUUGCAUGUAGGACAUUAUCUCCACUGAAUAUAAAGAAUGCAGAGAAAGAAGAUGAGAUUAAAAUAUACUAAAAUAGCUAUUAUAUUUAGGUGCUAGGCGAACAGAUACUUUUUCCAGGCUUAUAAUUUUCUGUUCUAAAUUUUCUAUAAUAGGAGCACAUCAUGAAUGAUUCAAAAAAUAAUGAAGUAAGAAAUGGAAAAAUGGAAAGAAUAAAAUAUGAUAUGAAUACUAGGAUAAGUGGUAAAAAUCAGAUUUUAGACUCCAACUGUGAUUUUAGGUAAAUUAAUCUUUUUUUGUCUUAUUGUUUUGUAAAAUAGGAUUAAAAACUUAAUAGGAUUGAUAUGAUGAACAACAAUAAUGUAGGAGAGAAAGCUUUGUAAUUUAUGAAACAAUAAAAGGAUGAUACAAAGUAUUAUAAUGUUUGUAUAUGUUAUUUGCAUUUAAUGGUGUUUCAGUGAUUAUUUCAAAGAAUUUACAUAUGUCAUACAUAAUGGAAUUGACUGGAAAACUAUAGUGUAGCCUUAGAAUGUAACAUACCAGAGUGAAUAUUUCUUGUCUCUCACUUAUACAGAGCUCGUUGUAGUUCUAUGGCUAUGUGGAGAUAUUGUACAUGAUUUCUAAAAAUGAUGACAUAAGAAAAAAACAUUUUAAAGACAGGAAAAAUGCAUCUCUAGGUUAAAUCUCUGUCUAUAGUAUGAUAAUAGUGAGUUUAGAGGUAAAAUUCACAACUUCUUUUCAUCAUAUUUUCUCCUUAUCACUGCCAAUUCAACCUUCUUAUCAUGCCAAAGUGAUUUGAUUUCUGUAUUAUCAUAUUUUGCACCUGUCUUAGACCCUGUAAUAAAUUCUAAACAUCAAGGGGAAAAGUGGAACCUUUUUAACAUUGUGUCUCUCUAUCCCCCUUUCAGUUCCAGAGGCAGUAGUGGGACAUGUUGAAUAGAUAUGUGAAAUUGGAAGGUAUUUGAAUUGAAUAACUUGAGAAACGGGAGUGUCAAAUUGUGAAAAAGAAAUGGGUACAUAUAGUUCAUAAAGAAGAAAAAGUAACAAUGUGGUCUGAAGGUUUUAGAAAAUGACAAUACACAAAAAUAUAGAUUGGUCAGAUUAGUGGUUAUACUUCUAUCGUGAAAAUAUAAAUUACAUAUUUGGAAUACAAACAUUGCUAAUUAGAGGUUAGUAUUUUAUUUGCAGAGCCAAACCUAUUCAGUGACACCUGUUAUAUUUAGAUUAUUGUUAUGGAGAUGAACUUCCAGGACAAACAUGAAAUUUCUUUUUCAUUUUUGCUUGGCUUCAUCACGUGUUGGGAAUUCUGUCACUAGAUGGUGAUAUUGAGUUGCACACUUUAUGUUUCUGGCUUUUUUUCUGGUGUGUGUAAUUGUAAUUAUAGGUGUGCCAUAAGCACAGCCAUUUAUACAGAGUUAAACAAAAUGUAACUAUAUGAACUUGGAAAAUAGUUUUAAGAGGUAUAAAUACAUUCUAAGUAUUAUUUAAGUCAAAGGUUAAUAUUGUUUUAAUGUGUUUGUGUUUUUACUUUAGAAUCAUUAGACUUUGAUAGGUAGAAGGUAUAUAUAUAAAUAACAAUCUAAAUUUUUCAUUAAAGACUCAGGUCUAAGAAGAGAUUCAGAGACAUUUAAAAGAGGUCUUUUCCAGUUUUCCUCUUCUAGAUGUAUUAGUCUAGAAAGUUCAUCUUUAAUUUCACUUCUCUGUUAAUAUCCAGUGGUAAAAGGGACUGUUUACCAACUGAUCUAAGGGUUAUGUUACUCCUGGUACCUAGAUAUUGUUUUAGCUGCUUAUUGUUAUAUUAAUGUUUUAGUUAUAUUAAUUUGCAGCUUGUGCUGAGCAUAAUGGUUAAAUUACACUAUUUCUUUAAGUGGUACUUCUACAUGAACUGGAAUAAAAAAUCGUCUCUAUGAGUAGUUUUGUCUAUCUGAUUAAGACUUGAAGGUAAGAUAGUAUUCUAUUUAAUCAUUUUUGUAGGUAAGUUUUGUGUGUAUGUAUAUAUUAAAUAUGUGUAAAUGUGUAUGUUUGUAUAUGUAAAUGUAUACUUUCUAUAUCUCUAUUUCUGUCUAAAUCUUCCCAUCCCAGUCAAGUAAAUCUUUGAAUUUGGAGAUCUCUAUGCUUUUUAGACAUAUCUAUUAGGAUUACAAAGAUUUAUGUACAAGAAGAUUCAAUGAAUUUUUUUUAUAAUAGUAAAAAAAGGGAAAGGGGAUAAGAAGGCAACCUAAAUAUUUAUGAAUAGUGAGUUUGAGUAAUGUAAAAGAUGAAUGUAAGGUAUGAAAAAAAAUGAAAUUGCAUUGUAGUAAAAUAAAAGAUAAAAUGAGAAAGCAUUAACAAGAUACUUCUAGUAAAAUCAUCAGAUUAUUAAAUAGUAUGGAAAGUAAAUACAAUUUUUUAAAAAUUCUGGGUAUGGUAUCUAAUGAUAUCAACAAUUACAGAUGAUUUAACAUUUGUAACAUUUUUUUUUUGCUUUCAAAGUUUUCAAAAAUAAACACAUUAUUUUUAUAAUCAUAAAUGCCCAUGUAUAUGUGUGCAUCUGUGUUUGUUCUUUAACUAUAUGAAAAGUUUGACCUGCAAUAUUGGGUUCAGAGGCAAUGUGUUAACUUUUCAUUUUAACCAAAUGUCUUGAUCCUUCAUAAUUAUAUUUCUCCAAGUUGUCUUUCACUAAAGGGAUCAGCCGGUAUCUCUCUAAAAAGUACCCCCCAAGUCAGCAAAUUAUAAGAGUAUCCUCUUUUCUUCUAUGCAGAGGAGAGUACCUUGUCUUUGUCAUUUCUAUUAUAAAGAGGCACAUAUUCUACUAUGCCCACAGUAGGUUCCUGCAUUUGAUCACCUAACAUAUGGAUUUGGUGACCACACUGAGUUAUCUUUAAUGAUAAAUUUUUUAAAACAGCAGCAAAUGAAAUCAGGCAUAGGUUAAUUAAAUUAUAUAUGUAUAAAAUGCAUUAGCCUAUACCUUAAUUUAAGCAUGUGUUCAUUCAACUUGGUGCCUACUAUGUGCUAGACACUAUUUAAAAGGAGUAUUUGUAGAAGAAAAUAAAAUUAUAAUUACCAUUUUAUGACUACUCGGUAACUUUAGAAUGAUAAAACUAGAAAAGAAAAUAUGAAUCAUUGGUAUAUUGGAUGUUUAUAUUUAAAACAACAAAUUAGCAGCAAUAUACAUAAACAGAAUUUAACCAUGAUAAAAAAUAAUUAGAUUUUGGUGCACCUGGGUGGCUCAGUCAGUUAAGCGUCUGAUUUUUUAUUUUGGCUUGGGUCAUGAUCUCAUGGUUUGUGGGUUUGAGCCCUGCUCUGUGUCAGCAAGAAGCCUGCUUGAAAUUCUCUCUCCCUCUCUCUUGCCCCUCCCACACUCGUGCUCCCUCACUUGCUCUCAAAAUAAAUAAAUAAACUUAAAAAAUAAAAAAAAAUUGUAUUUUCCCAUUAGUAGUUUAAGAUUGUAUAUUAAAGACUAGAAAGGAAGGGUUACAGCUUUUGUUUUGCUACGAAAGAAAAGUGCAGAGUUAAGUCUUACUCUAGAAUGCUUAUCAUUUUAGAUACAGACUUUGAAUGAGCAGCUAAUAGCUAAAAUUAUUUAGGAGAUAAAAAUUGGUACUGUGAGGAUUAGCUUUAAUUUUAAGUAUCCAUAAUUGAAGUGCCACAUUAUGAUUUUAAUGUUAUGAUAAUCUUGUUAACAAGCUGUUGUGUAUAUACUAUCAUAUUUUAAUGUAGUUGCAAAGCUUAAGUAAACCAUAAAGUAAAUUGCUUUUUGAAUCAGGCUUUUACAAGUGGAAAAUUAGUGGUUUACAUGUUUUGAAUACAUAUUUUGUAAUUAUGCUUGUCAUUUUCUACAACUUAAGAAGAAUAAUAGAAUAGGUUUAUAGAUAAUACAUUAUUGUUCAUUGGCAUAUUUUGUUAUUGCCCAUUCUAAUUAGUUUGGUUUUAUUAUACAUAUACUAUAAAAUAAUAACUGAUUCUGUUUCUUUUUCUGUAAUAGUCUUCCGGAAGGUACACAUUUUAGUUUAGUUACACUACUUCUCAUUUCUCAUAUAUCAUCACAUUACUUUUAGAAAAUUAAUACCUUUUCUUAUCUAGUAUUUCUACAGGUUAUUAUGAUAUACACUGAGUUACAUCCAUUGGGAGGGUUUGUGUUUAUUUGGGGGAAAAAAGUGUCCUAUUCUGAUAAUUGGUGAAGAUAGCUAGUAAGUAAGAUUUACUUUUUCUGAAUUUGUUGCUUCAGUUGACAAAGACAAAGCAUGGCAAUUUGAUAGUCUAAGGCAGAAAUAGGCAAACUUUUAUGUAAAGUCCAGACAAUAAAUACUUUCAGCUUUCUGGUUCCUGCAGUCUCUGUUAUAGUUAUUUAAUUAUGCUGAUGUAGUGCAAAAGCAGCCACAUAGACAUUUUGUGAACAAAUAUGUGUGGCUUCAUUGGUAUGGCUAUGUUCUAAUAAACUGUUAUAGAAGCAAGCAACCAGGUGGAUUUAUCCCAUGGGUCAUAGUUUAUUGACCUCUGGUUAAGAGCAGACUUGACAUAAAUCAAUUAAAUUUCAAAAAAUUAUUGGUAAAUAUAUUAUGAAUUUGUUAUCUCUAAUAAAUUAAUACUAAAAAAUACUGUGAAGUUCUUCCAGUUUUAUUUACAAAGAUGACUAUACAACAUUUACUGAGGUGUCCUUAUUUCCCAAUUUCUGGGUUGUUCUUUGAAAUUGAGUAAGUGACACUUCCUAGAUUACUCAUUCAAGUAAAUAAGCAUAAAUCAGAGAAAACUCACCAAUUGCAAUUGUAAAAUCACCAAUGUGCAACCAACAUGAGGUCUUGGUAUCAAUGGCACUGGAUCAAUUAGCAUUAAUUCAUUAUAAUUAUGGUUUAGAGUUAAAAUGUGGACUAACCACUGAAGAACCAUCUACAUUAUGAAACAGUAUAAUGUUACUCUUCAUUUUAGCACUAGUUUACCACAAUAUGAUACUUAUAAAAAUAUACAUUGUGAUACCUGACUUUGUUAAUUAUUCUUAUAAAUAUGGAAGACUCAUGGUAUCUACUGAAGUACAUACAUGAUGUCUGAUACUGAUUUGAAAAUAGUGUGAUGUGUUGCAUGGUCUGUUAUUUUAACUCCUUUGCGAAGUUUUAUACUUUAAGGGGCUAUGUAAGGAAUUGCCUUCAUUUCAAAAAUGUAAUCAAUUGAUGUUUAAUAAAUCUGUGAAUUAUAAAUAAAUAAUUAUCUUCUAGUAUACAAAGAAGUUUUUUUUAAUAUUAAGUGAGAUUCCAUAUGGGAUAUUCUGAGCCCUUUUUAAAAAAUGUUCUUGAUGUUUUAAGUUCAGUCUUAAUAUUUUCCAAAGAGCUUCCUAUGAAAAUGAGUUUAAUUUAAUACAUUUCCUAACUUUUAGCCCUAUAGUUUUUUUCCCCCAUUUUAAGAACCAUUAUUUUGGCUGGCAAAUAGAAGAAAUAAUAGUAGUCAUUUAAUUUUGAAAUCUUCCAUCAUAUCAACUUUCAUCAAGUUUUAGUGGAAAUGGGUGUUUGUCAUUGGACCACAGAGGUAAUACUUUUAAUGGAUAUCUGUGCUAUGUUUACAGACGAAUCUUGCCAAUAUCUUCCUCUAUCUUUCAGGAGACUUUAGAAAAAUCUUUUUUUAUUUUUAUUUUUCUUAAGAUGGGAAAGAAAAAUGAUUUACAAUAAGGUUAAAUUACUUACUGGUAUUAUAUUUGUCAUUGUCAUAUUUCCCCUCCAUAUUUCAUUUCUUCCUUCAUCCCCUUAGAAGUUGUUUAUAAUUUCAUAUUCUGUGAGAGAAUAUUGCUUGAGACAUUUCUCACCCAGGGGUAAGAAUUGUGUUGAAAUUUAAACAGUUUGGAUGAAAAAGCUGUUUUGGAGAUCGCAUUUCUUCUUUUCAAAAUAGAGAAACAAGUGUAAGAUUUUUUUCAAUGUUAAGAAAAAGGUUACUGGUUUUGACACAUAAUUAUUAAAUGACUAAAUAUGAAUAGAGUAUAUUAAGUAAUUUAUUUUUUCUUUUUUAAGUUAUUUAAAUUCUGGUUAGUUAAAAUACAGUGUAAUAUUAGUUUCAGGUGUAGAAUUUAGUGAUUCUUCACUUGCAUACAACACCCAGUGCUCAUCACAAGUGCCCUCCUUAAUCCCCAUCACCCAUUUAGCCCAUCCCCCACCCACCUUCCCUCCAGCAAUGCUCAGUUUGUUUUCUAUACUUAAGAAUCUGUUUUAUGGUUUGCUACAUGGGGGUUGGGGGAAGAGAGAGGCAAACUAUAACUUAAAAAGCAUUGGGUAGGGGCGCCUGGGUGGCUCAGUCGGUUAAACGUCCGACUUCGACUCAGGUCACCAUCUCGUGGUCUGUGAGUUGGAGCCCCGCGUCGGGCUCUGGGCUGAUGGCUUGGAGCCUGUUUCUGAAUCUGUGUCUCCCUCUCUCUGCCCCUCGCCGUUCGUGCUGUGUCUCUCUCUGUCUCAAAAAUAAAUAAACGUUAAAAAAAAAAUUAAAAAAAAAAAAAGCAUUGGGUAGCCAGUCACUACCAUUAAUUGAAAUCUGAGGAUCAUUCCUUGAGUUGGGUCAUUUCAUUAAAAAUGAAAGUCUGAUGUGUUUUGAUAUUAUUAUAAGACUUAUACUGUAGUUCAUAUUUAUUCAGGAUUAUUCUGUUCAUCUGAAAUUUUUAGAAACUUGAUUGUUCUUUCAGUACUUCCACCAAAAAUCUGCAUUAUUUAAGGGUCAUGACAAAUAUAUUUGUCACAAUAAUGUUUCUAUAGAUGAUAUAGUUAUUUCAGAAAGAGAUCUUGUUUAUAUCAAUACUAAUAAAUGCUGUUUGUAACCUGUAAUUGUAUGAACAAACUAGGAUUUACUAGAUAUAUCUAAAUUAUUGCAUGUCUUUUAUUAUUUAUUAUUUUUAUUACUUAUAUUAUCAUUUUGUCUGAUUAUAUAUAACAAGAAAUGUAGUUUAAAUGUGAUGGUACCUAGAACCUUGAAUGCAUAUUGGAAUCAUCUUGUGAUGAUGCAAUACCUAAGCCCAACUCCAGAGUAAUUAAAUGAAAUUGCUUGUGUGUUGGGGUGGUGGGAUUACAGUCAGCACCAGUAUUUUUAAAGCAUCUUGGGUGAUUCCAGAAUGCAACCAAGGUUGAGGAUUGCAGUUCCAGUUGGUUUCCAUGAAGUCUGUUCUGCAGACAGCAGCCAGAAUCGUU